rnacentral:rRNA from 1 species
UCAAAAACAUGGCCUAUUGAGUAUAAUUUUAGGUUUAGCCUGCCCCCUGAAUAUUUAAUGGCCGCGGUAUUUUGACCGUGCUAAGGUAGCAUAAUCAUUAGUUUCUUAAUUAGAAGCUGGAAUGAAUGGUUGGAUGAAAAAAUUUCUGUCUCUAUUUAAUUAAUUUAAAAAUUUAUUUUUUAGUAAAAAAGCUAAAAUUAUUUUAAAAGACGAGAAGACCCUAUAGAGUUUAAUAUAUUAUUUUAUUAAUAUUUGUUGGGAUAAAAAUAUAUAAUUUUAUUUUGUAUUUAAUUGGGGUGAUUGAAAAAUUUAAAUAACUUUUUAAUUAUAAAAACAUUAAUUUAUGAAUUAUUGAUCCAUUUAUUAUGAUUAAAAGAUUAAAUUACCUUAGGGAUAACAGCGUAAUAUUUUCAGAGAGUUCUUAUCGAAGAAAAAGAUUGCGACCUCGAUGUUGGAUUAAAAUUAAUUUUUGGUGUAGCAGCUAAAAAUUUUAGGUCUGUUCGACCUUUAAAAUUUUACAUGAUCUGA